AUGCCUGGUGUCUGCCUGUUUAGAGAACUGAGCUGCAGCUGCUGAAUUGUAUUUGGUGUUUGCUAUGGGACUGAACUGCUGCCAAAGAAGAUCGAGCUCACCCACAAGGAACUAUUGCUAAACAGGUCCACUUCCCCCAUAUCCUAAUAACUUUCUCUUCCACUACCUCUGCUGGCUGGUGGGCUAGAGGAGAGAUUGAACCCUUAUUAAAGACCAUUGCUGUGUCCCAGGACUUGUCCUGGCCAGAUCCUGGAGUCUUGUUAGAUGAAACUAAAGCUCCUUAGAGAAGCUACUGUGAUGGUGCCCCCAAAGCCAGUGGGAAGGCAUGCAUGGGAAAUGCUGGAGGGUCUUGAGCAGCCACUGCCUUCGUAAGUAGAAUUGGACUGCCUUGAACAGCACCAGAAAUAGACUGAGCAAGAAGGCCCAUUGGAAGAACCCAGAGAUACCAUCCAAGUACCUUGUAGGGCUAAAUAAAAAAAAACCCAUGGGUGAAAUGAUGACAACAGUAGUUGGUGUGUUCAGAUGAAUGUAAUUGCUGAAAGUUUCUACCUAUAGUCAUCUUUGCAUCUGGACUCCAAAUCCAGCUGUUUCUUCCAUUUUAUCUGAGACUUGUCACAGUCACACUCCAGAUUGAUCCAGGAUGGAUGUGCCAGCAGGUGGAACAGUGCAGUUGCAUUCAGGUGGCUCAAGACUCAAUCAGCCUCACCACAUACACAGCCUGUGACAGACUCUUUCUCUGUCUCACUAUCUUGACUGAAUGGAAUAAUAAAACCUUUCUUUUCUAAAUACUUAAAUUGCCCAUCACUUAUUCAGUCACUCAUUAAUUUAAGAAUAUUUCUUGACCUCACAUAGGGCAAACUCUAAUAAAGAAAUCAGUCCAAUUAUAUAUAUAUUAUGCCUUGCCUGAAAAAAAUUAAUGUACACACAGAAUAGAUAAAGCGAAAGUUAAAAAAAAUGAGAUAUUGAAGGAUUACUAGCCAAUCAAUUGAAAAGUGCUGAGAUAGUUUCCAACUACCUCAUUUAUUUAUAGAUUUUAUGGAGAUAUUAUUUAAGCAGAGAAAGAAUGUUUUGGUUGUCAGUCUAUCCAUUAACAUGAAGAUGGAUAGCUAGGAAGGCCCUGAGGAUCUAGGAGAAGUUGGAGGAAGGAAAGAAUAUGAUCAAAUUAUAUUGCAUGAAAAAAAUUAAAUAAAAAAUAAAUUUUAAAAAUGACAAAACUUUUAGAAAGGAAGAAAAACAAAGAAGUUAAGGGGUAGAAAUAAGCCUUUCUCUGGAAUCUUUAUCCUCACCUGGAUCAUGAUUAUCUUCCCUAAAUUAAUCCUAGUUGUGAAGACCACAAAGAGGCAAACACAAAAGGUAUUUUAACAAGAAUCUCUAGAAAGCCAGCCCAUUCACUCUGCCAGGAAUGUGUGUUUGCCGCUCACUUGAUCCUUUAUCUAUCCAAACAUUUUCUUUAACACCCACUACUUCAUCUUCCACUGUGACACAACAUGCAUAACCCACUACUUUUUCUUUCUUUCCACAAUUCUGAGCUUUGGUCAAAACCAAAGACCGAGAGGGACAUGCUCCAUACGUCUGAACUUUUAGCCCACUUUGUGGUCAUUUUACAACUUCAAAUAUUUGUUGGAUGAGUAAAUGAUUGAAAGAUCCAGUCCAUUUCUUGGGACAGGUCAUUUUGUACCCUUUCUCCUUCCCUACUUGGAUCCUCUCCCACUUUCAGAGUGGAAUUCAGUAGUGGAAAGAGCUUUGGCGUCCAAGACUACUGCUGAAUUUUAGUUUUGACUGUUUCCUUCUCUGAAUCUGAGUUCUUUUUGUUUGACCCAUAUUAUGGUAAGCAUGAACACAGAGUAGGUAGGUACUUGACCUGCUUUCUCCCAUAACUCUCCAAAACAAUGUUGUUUUUUAAAAAUCGAGGAAUGAAACCAGAGACUUAAUACUGUUUUUUUUUUUUUUUUUGCUACAGCACAUUCUACAGUAGUUCUACCAUUUAGUUAAGAGCACUGGUUGCUCUCCAGGGGACCUAUGUUCUAUUUCCAGCACCCAUAUGGUAGGCAUCUCAUAAACAACCGUGUGUAACUCCAAUUCCAUGGGAUUUGACACCUUUUCAAUCCCUCUGCUGUCACUACAUGCAUGAGGUACACAGACACAUACCUAUGGAAGUAAAAUACCUAGGCACAUUAAGUGAAUUUUUUUUUUGUAAAUUAGGAGAGUCUUUAGGAAAAUGGAUGACUAGAGGUAAGUCACAUGUUCAUUCUAAUUUUAAAAAAUGAAAGACAAACAUAUCUUCAGAUAAAUUGCUAAACACUGAGGUACCAAAUUUCAUAAAAGUAAUAAUUCAAUACCAAAGAUUUGCUCCAAUAGAAUAGGGGGUGUUUUUAACACCCUACUCUCACCGAUAUGCAGGCCACUCCCAAUACACACACACACACACACACACACACACACACAGACACACAACCAGACAGACAGACAGACAGACAGAGUCCUGAAGUUAUAUGACAUCAUAAACCAAAUGGACCUAGUGGACAUUUACAUUCCACUCAAACUCUUCAAACCACCACAGCUGUUUCCAAAGCCCUACAGAGUUGUUUACUGCAUUCUCUCACUGCUCUUUUGUUUUGUUUUGUUUUGUUUUGUUUUGUUUUGUUUUUUGUUUGUUUUUUGUUUUUUGUUUUUCGAGACAGGGUUUCUCUGUGUAGCCCUGGCUGUUCUGGAACUCACUCUGUAGACAAGGCUGGCCUCAAACUCAGAAAUCUGCCUGCCUCUACCUGUCACUGCUCUUGAGAAAAAAACUCCAACUGAAGCAUUAGCCACCUAAUGGGACAUGGUCUGGGAAAUCUUGGAAAGAAAGCUUUUGCUUUUAUAAAAAUGUGAUUUUAAUAUCCAUUCAUUCAUUGUCUAAAUGUGUUUAUUUAUUUUCCACUUGAUGGUAAUAUUUUUAUUCUUAGAUCACCCCCCUCCAACCCUGUGUUUUCUUCCUUAUGCCACCCUUACAUUUAGUUGUAUGCUGGCUUUACCUUAUGGGAUUGGGUUUUAUAAUUAAAAGUUCAUUUAUUU
rnacentral:lncRNA from 1 species